rfam:Candidatus Coatesbacteria bacterium RBG_13_66_14 RBG_13_scaffold_25252, whole genome shotgun sequence.
GGUCAAGCGAUUAAGGGCACACGGUGGAUGCCUUGGCGCUGGGAGGCGAUGAAGGACGCAGUCGACAGCGAAAUGCCCCGGGUAGCCGUUAAACAGGCUUUGAUCCGGGGGUGUCCGAAUGGGGCAACCCGACGCGGGUUAUGCCGCGUCAUCCCCUUGCUGAACACAUAGGCUUGGGGAAGCCAACCGGGGGAACUGAAACAUCUUAGUACCCCGAGGAAAAGAAACCAAAAGGGAUCCCCCUAGUAGUGGCGAGCGAAAGGGGGAAUAGCCUAAACCGCUGCUGUUUACAAGGUUCCGGCCGUUGCAGCGGCGGUGUUGAGGGACGUCCUUGCCGAACCGGAAAUAGGCUAGGAGUUACAAAACCGACGGUUAGCCGAACCUUUUGGAAAGCUGUGGCCAUAGCGGGUGAUAGCCCCGUAGGCGAAAACCGAACGGUCUCCGAUGGACGCACCCAAGUAGCGCCGGACACGUGAAACCCGGUGUGAAUCUGGGAGGACCACCUUCCAAGGCUAAAUACUACCCAGCGACCGAUAGUGAACCAGUACCGUGAGGGAAAGGUGAAAAGAACCCCGGGAGGGGAGUGAAAUAGUACCUGAAACCGUGUGCCUACAAGGUGUGGGAGCGGCCUUGUGCCGUGACCGCGUGCCUUUUGUAGAAUGAGCCGGUGAGUUUCCGUCGGGAGCAAGGUUAAGGCCGACAGGCCGUAGCCGUAGCGAAAGCGAGUCUUAAACGGGCGAUUUAGUUUCCGGCGGUAGACGCGAAACCUGGUGACCUAGCCAUGGGCAGGUUGAAACGACCGUAAAAGGUUGUGGAGGACCGAACCCGCAAGAGUUGAAGAUCUUGGGGAUGACCUGUGGCUAGCGGUGAAAAGCCAAUCGAACCAGGAGAUAGCUCGUUCUCCCCGAAAUAGCUUUAGGGCUAGCCUCGCGUGAUAAGUUGCGGUUGUAGAGCACUGAUUGAGCUAGGGGGCUUACCAGCUUACCAAACCCAUUCAAACUCCGAAUGCCGUAACUCGUAUCGCGGGAGUCAGACUGCGGGGGCUAAGCUCCGUAGUCAAGAGGGAAACAGCCCAGACCGACAGCUAAGGUCCCCAAAUCCGUGCUAAGUGGGAAACGAUGUGGGAUUACCCAGACAGCCAGGAGGUUGGCUCAGAAGCAGCCAUUCCUUUAAAGAGUGCGUAACAGCUCACUGGUCAAGUGAUCCUGCGCGGAAAAUGUAACGGGGCUCAAGCACGGUACCGAAGCUUCGGAUCCGCAAGGAUGGUAGGGGAGCAUUCCGUCUUAGGUCGAAGGCGGCCCGCGAGGUCCGCUGGACGAAACGGAAGUGAGUAUGCCGGCAUGAGUAGCGAUAAAAAGGGUGAGAAACCCUUUCGCCGUAAGCCUAAGGGUUCCUGGGGAAGGUUAAUCCGCCCAGGGUUAGUCGGCCCCUAAGGCGAGGCCGAAAGGCGUAGCCGAUGGGUAGCAGGUCAAAUAUUCCUGCACCAGCAACGUGCGCUCGAGCGAUGGGGUGACGCAGGAGGGUAGGCCGGCCACCGGACGGAAGUGGUGGUUUAAGCCCGUAGGGGGAAGGCUUUGGCAAAUCCGGGCCUUCUAUACCCCGAGAGGUGAUGACGAUGGGAGAAAUCCCUUCAAGCGGCUGAUCCCACGCUGCCGGGAAAAACCUCUAGCGAGCACGUUACUGACCGUACCGCAAACCGACACAGGUAGGCGAGGAGAGCAUCCUAAGGCGCUCGAGAGAACUCUGGUCAAGGAACUCGGCCAACUGACCCCGUAACUUCGGGAGAAGGGGUGCUUCUGACCGUGACGGGACUCGCUCCCCGAGCGGCUGGAAGUCACAGAAAAUCGGCCCAGGCGACUGUUUACUAAAAACACAGGUCUCUGCUAAGGCGCAAGCCUACGUAUAGGGACUGACGCCUGCCCGGUGCCGGAAGGUUAAGAGGAGGGGUUAGCCGAAGUUUACUUCGGCGAAGCCCUGAAUUGAAGCCCCGGUAAACGGCGGCCGUAACUAUAACGGUCCUAAGGUAGCGAAAUUCCUUGUCGGGUAAGUUCCGACCCGCACGAAUGGCGCAACGACUUGGGCACUGUCUCGACCAGAGACUCGGCGAAAUUGUAUUACCGGUGAAGAUGCCGGUUACCCGCGACUGGACAGAAAGACCCCGUGGAGCUUUACUGCAGCUUGAUGUUGGGUUCUGGUGCAUUUUGUGUAGGAUAGGUGGGAGGCUAUGAAGCGCGGGCGCCAGCCCGCGUGGAGCCAUCCUUGAAAUACCACCCUGGAUGUAUCGGCAUUCUAACCUUGACCCGUAAGCCGGGUUGGGAACAGCGUCUGGUGGGCAGUUUGUCUGGGGCGGAUACCUCCCAAAAUGUAACGGAGGUGCCCUAAGGUCGCCUCAGCGCGUAUGGAAAUCGCGUGACGAGUGUAAAGGCAAAAGGCGGCUUAACUGCGAGAGAGACAUCUCAAGCAGAUGCGAAAGCAGGGCUUAGUGAUCUUGUGGUCCCGAGUGGAAGGGCCAUGACUUAUCGGACAAAAGUUACCCCGGGGAUAACAGGCUUAUAGCGCCCGAGCGUCCACAGCGACGGCGCUGUUUGGCACCUCGAUGUCGGCUCGCCGUAUCCUGGGGCUGUAGGAGGUCCCAAGGGUUGGGCUGUUCGCCCAUUAAAACGGCACGCGAGCUGGGUUUAGAACGUCGUGAGACAGUUCGGUCCCUAUCCGUCGUGGGUGUUGGAAGCUUGAGGAGAGCUGCCCCUAGUACGAGAGGAUUGGGGUGGACGAACCUCUAGUGUACCGGUUGUCGCGCCAGCGGCAUCGCCGGGUAGCUAUGUUCGGAAAGGAUAAGCGCUGAAAGCAUCUAAGCGCCAAGCCAACUCCAAAACCAGGCUUCCCUGGGGACUUGAUCCCCCUAAAGGCGCCUCGCAGACUACGAGGUUGAUAGGACGCUGGUGUAAGUACCGUGAGGUAUUCAGCCUAGCGUUACUAAUCCGCCGUGAGGCUUGACCAU